CAAUAGCGUAUAUUAAAGUUGUUGCAGUUAAAAAGCUCGUAGUUGGAUUUCUGGUUGAAGCGACCGGUCGGGCGUUGAUUCGUCUGCACUGGAGUCGGUUUUGGCCAUCCUCUAGGAAAGUGCGUCUGGUAUUAAGUUAUCGGGCGUAUGAUCCUGGUCUCUUACUGUGAAAAAAUUAGAGUGUUUAAAGCAGGCCUUCGCCUUGAAUACAUUAGCAUGGAAUAAUAAGAUAGGACUUUGGUCUAUUUUGUUGGUUUGCAGACCGAAGUAAUGAUUAAUAGGGAUAGUUGGGGGUAUUUAUAUUCCGAUGUCAGAGGUGAAAUUCUUAGAUUUUCGGAAGAUAAACUUAUGCGAAAGCAUUUACCAAGGAUGUUUUCAUUAA
rnacentral:rRNA from 1 species